CAGUCGCCGCGGUAAUACGGAGGGGGCUAGCGUUGUUCGGAAUUACUGGGCGUAAAGCGCACGUAGGCUGCUUUGUAAGUUAGAGGUGAAAGCCUGGUGCUCAACACCAGAACUGCCUUUAAGACUGCAGAGCUAGAACGUCGGAGAGGUGAGUGGAAUUCCGAGUGUAGAGGUGAAAUUCGUAGAUAUUCGGAAGAACACCAGUGGCGAAGGCGGCUCACUGGACGACUGUUGACGCUGAGGUGCGAAAGCGUGGGGAGCAAACAGGAUUAGAUACCCGGGUAGUCCCUGUCUCUUAUAC
rnacentral:rRNA from 1 species